UUCUUUGCAUCUGUCUCCCCUCUAUCUCUCUGCACCUCUUUCUUUUCUUCCAAAAUCUUUCCCUUUCCUUCGCCGCACUUCUCCUCUCUAAAACCUCUUUCUUUUCUUUUCUACUUCCUUCGUUCAUUGCUUUUCCUAAUUAAGCUAAUUUUGCUUGUAAAAAUCUUACCUUUUUAAUCUCAUCUUCUUUUCCCCAAGAAACUAGGGUUUUGUCAAAUGUGACCCCUUUUGGUACAAAAACAGGGCACUCGAUUCUCAAAUCUCUGUUUUUUUUUUAAUUAUUAUUACACGAUUUAAGAUUUCUUUUGUAGGACUUGAUUGUUCAUUGAUUUGAUUCUUGCUGGCAUGUUAAUGACAUUGAACCUAUUUCAACCGUAAUAUUUUUUUUAUUGGAUUGAUAUGGGAUUGAUAUGGUUAGUUGUGUGUUUUUUAAUCCCAUUUUUUAUUUUGUGUGAUGAUUUAGGCAAACAGGCACACCAUUGUUUUGAUGCAAACUUCGCAGAACAGAGCACCUAGAACGUUUGUGGAUUAUGAUUCUAUCAGUCAAGCUAUGGACAGUAUGCUUUUUGUUUACUGUUGCUUAUAUUAUCUUUGUUUUUGUUGUUGCUCAUAUUAUGAUUUUAUCAGUCAAGCUAUGAAUAGGGGUUUGGAGGUGGAAAUCAAAGCAAUCAAAAGUAUACGUGGACUAUAUGAAAGGAAACUUAAAAAGCUCAACCCAGCAACUCAAAACAUAACGUAUGACAUUGGUGUUCUUUACAAUUUUAUUGAUGGCCUUGCAGAUAUGAUUGCCCUCGUUCAAAAGGGACACUUCAAAUGGAUGCCUUUUCACCAUGUGAUAAAAGAUUGUGAUUCUAGGAGGACAUUCACAAGGCCUUGGAGUCAUUGAAGAGUGGACAUCAAAAGGGAAACUUUUAUUUUCUAUUGCAACUAUUUUUUAUUUUCUUUCAAUUCUCAAGUUUAGUUACUUAAUUAUAACAAUUUACAGCUUAAUCGAUCAUCAUUGAUCGGUUGCCAAGAAAAGGAACAAAUAAUCAAACACCAAAUAUUUGAUAAUAUAUCUCUAAAUCAGAUUUGUAAGAUGGUGGAAGUCAAUGUUCCUCAACUUCUCUUUGAAGAAUAAAAGCACAACUUUGAACAAAUGAGCCUAACAAGAUACUUGGAAGAAUUGAUUCCAAAUGCUACUCUUGAUGAAUCCUGUAAGGAAGGUUGGGAACUGCAAUGUCAGAUGGUUUUAUUAGGUUGGAGAAGGGACAAACAAAUAUGUACAAAGAGAAAUUGGAGAGAAAAAGAGAGAAAGAGAGAUUACCCCAUAUUGUACACGUUGUAAAGACCUUGAGGGUCCAUGUUCCAAGUUGAAAAUGGUUUUUGAGACAUUUGACGUUUGAGGCAUUAGUUGCUGCAAUUUGAUUUUAGAGACACUUUAUGGUUUGUGAGCAUUUUGUUUCUAUCAUAAAACUUAUUGCAUAUUAGAAGGUUA